UACCAGCACCCCGAGUGGUCGGGACGUUUUAUUGGGCCUAAAAGCAUCCGUAGCCGGUUCUACAAGUCUUCCGUUAAAUCCACCUGCUUAACAGAUGGGCUGCGGAAGAUACUAUAGAGCUAGGAGGCGGGAGAGGCAAGCGGUGAACUCGAUGGGUAGGGGGUAAAAUCCGUUGAUCCAUUGAAGACCACCAGUGGCGAAGGCGGCUUGGCCAGAAC
rnacentral:rRNA from 1 species